CUGCUGCUCCCGUAGGAGUGUUACCGCGGCUGCUGGCUGCUGCCUCCCGUAGGAGUGUUACCGCGGCUGCUGGCACCCUUCGUAUUACCGCGGCUGCUGGAUUACCG
rnacentral:rRNA from 1 species